rnacentral:rRNA from 1 species
GCUAGUAAUCGCGGAUCAGAAUGCCGCGGUGAAUACGUUCCCGGGUCUUGUACACACCGCCCGUCACACCAUGGGAGUCGGAAAUGCCCGAAGUCAGUGACCCAACCACAACGUGAACUUUGUUCACGUGGAGGGAGCUGCCGAAGGUGGAGCCGGUAACUGGGGUGAAGUCGUAACAAGGUACC